ensembl:snRNA U6 U6 spliceosomal RNA
CUAUAAUCAUACAGCUAUACUAAAACUUGAUCGCUAGAGAGAAGAUCAGCAUGGUCCCUGUGAAAGGACGAACGCAAAUCUGUGAAAAGCUUUUU